rnacentral:rRNA from 1 species
AGCUGGUAUUAGUUGCAAUCUCGCUAAAUAUUUUCCUUAGCUGCGAAUUUGUUUUUUUUAGUAAGCCUUAUGGUUGAAGCCUUUUUGUUAACAAACUGCUUAUAGAGUUUAGAUUUUAUAGUGAAAAGUACCGCGAGGGAAAGGUUAAACAUCGUAGUAAUACGUGUGAAAACUGAAUUUUAAUGCAAAAAUCAAAUAACGCGUUAGUGUUAUUGUACCUUUUGUAUAAUGGGUUGGCGAGUAGUUUUACAGUUUUAUAGAACUGACCCGAAACUAAGCGAUCUAAUAAUGAGCAAGUGUUAGACUGAACUCAUAAAUGUUGCAAAAUUUUGAGAUGACUUGUUAUUAGGGGUGAAAGGCUUAUCAAGCUUAGUGAUAGCUGGUUCUCCACGAAAUCUAUUUAAGUAGAGUGACUUUUGCUUUUUGUUUAGGUAAUUCUCUGACUGAGUGGUCGCUCGCUUCGUCAAUGUAUAAAUUAAACAAAACAUGAAAGUUAAACAGACUAGU